UGGCUUUGCUUUGGGCUUCCCCAAAAGGCCUCAUGCCAAUGGAGAUAAUAUUCAUCACUUAUAAACACAUGAUCAUUACCUAAA